rnacentral:tRNA from 1 species
UGUUUUGUGGAGAAGUUGGUUAACGCGCCCUGUCUAGCGAACUUGGGGAGACGUGGGUUCAAACCCCACCAGAACUA